CAAACACUACUCUGUUGAACUGGAUUUUCGAACGCAGCCAAAAUAACAGCUCGAUUACUCAAAAUUUGUCGCUCACGAGAUUGCGGUAUAUUGUGAAGCAAAAGCGAAUGUGAAUAUACUACCAGUUCCUAUUGCAUGAUAAAAAAUGUCUCAGAAAUCUAAUGCGAAGAAGUCAUGGAUAUGGAGAAAUCCUACCUACGCUAUCAUGAUACCAGCAAUCAUAGGAUUUCACAUAGGUUGGUUUGUUCUGCAGAAAUAUUAUGUACCACCGCCUGAAAGACAUGAGCAUCCCCUAACUAAAUUGUAUAAGAAAACCACAGAAACCGUAGAAACUGCAGAAUAAAGUAAUGCAAGAAUGUAAUAUAUAAAAUUUGUUUGUUGUUAUAAAUAAUGUUUGAAAAUUUUGUUUGUUGUUAUAAAUAAUGUUUAUUUUUUUCUAACUUUUAGAUGUUAAAUAAUAGAUUGUUAGUUUUUUAUGCUAUUCUUUCCAAGGUUUAGGAGUUUUCAUUAAAAUGAAACAUUCUCUGCGGUUGGAGCAGCAAUAUUACCUGCCUUGCUUACAGAAUAUGAUGUACAGAAAAUAAAUUUCUCUCGUUUUAUACAAAACUUUUAUUGUAAGAGAUAUACAUAUGAAUUGCACAUGCUUAUUUCUAUUUAUAAACAGAAAAUCAAAACCUAAAGAAAAAUCUUUCAUAAGAAAAAAUGUGCGAAUACAAACAAAAGGAUAAUAUAUAACAAUUAUUUUCAUAAAAUUCUAUAAAUUAACGUGAACAUUCCCUUAAAAAGCUUAGGAAAAUAUAUGUACAAUCACAGAAUUAACCUCUUAUAGUAGGUAGAUGGUCAAAAUUUUGUUGAUGUAUAGAGGAGCUCUUCGGUCGACUUUCACUAUGGCUAUGAACUGAAGGGCCAGCCUUGGGUAACUGGGGUAACACCAUUUGACUGUAAUUAGUAUUCUGUAAAUACGAACACACAUUCGUAAUCUUUUCCCCCAUAAAUUGUAAACAAAAUGUUGAGUAAUGCAAUAAAUCUGUCGACAAAUCUUA